rnacentral:misc_RNA from 1 species
CAAAAACAAGAGCUUAGCAUCAUCCGUCAACUCCCGGGAAGGAGAGGGACCAGACGUCCCAAGUCAUAACACCACGUUUUUUCAACUCCCAAGAAUGCGCCAAUGAAUCCAUUACUCUGUUUUCCGUAAUUUUCCAAUGCUUUUCUGUUCAUUUUCUCUUUUCCAGCUACCUUCGUAUCUCUCUCCCUCUCUCUCUAAAUCGCGCUCCAAUAUAUAAAUGAAACAACUCCAUAUUAAUUUUAUUUUUUAAAUGAUCCCUAUCUCAAUCUCAGAUUUUGAGAAGGCCUGAGCUUUGUUUAUUAUAAUAUUUGGAGGUAUGGGUGUUGAUCUUGAAUCUCUUUCAGAGGCAACCUCAGGUGCCAUUGGCUCCUUACUCAGUACAACGAUCUUGUACCCUCUUGAUACCUGUAAGACCAAGUAUCAAGCCGAAGUUCGUGCUCAUGGCCAGCGAAAAUACAGGCACCUUUCUGAUGUUUUAUGGGAAGCACUAUCCAAUGGACAAAUUCUUUCACUAUAUCAAGGCUUAGGGACAAAAAAUCUGCAGUCUUUCAUUUCACAGUUUGUCUACUUCUAUGGGUACAGCUACUUUAAAAGGCUAUAUCUGGAAAAAAGUGGUUUCAAAAGAAUUGGAACGAAAGCUAACUUGAUUAUUGCUGCUGCUGCUGG